AGAGUGUUCUCGUUUCCACGGGGCCCUUGCCAGCGGCUGCACUGGGCCGAGUCUGUUCUGGGGCCCUCAGAGCAUCCGUUAGGGGCUGCCCCGGCCCGGGAAACAGCGCCUUUUCUUCGCUCCAGAAGCAGCCACUCGCGACCCCGGCUGACCCUAGCUGACCGCCCCGUAUCUUGCUCGUUGACUGGCUGUUUCGGCCGCUCAGCCCCGCAGCCCGGGCUGGGGGGUGGUCUUUGCAAGUACAUUUCGGAAGAAAUGCUUGCAGCGUCACAGGUCCAGCCUACGCGGGCCCAGAUGCUGCUGCAGAGCCCAGAACCCGUGAACCCUUGCCUCUGCCCUGCUGUGUUCCUGGGACUGGACCUCCUGCCUUUCACUUAAUUCUUACAGGAACCCUGUGUGGGCAUAUCAUUUUCGUCCUGCAAAUGAGGAAACCAAGGUGCCCAGCGUAACAGUUCUACAACUACUGAGGAUGGAGGGAGGCUGCCUGAGUGCAGGAAACGAACACGUCUUGACUAACCUCAGCAUUUAGCUGGGAUGCGCCCAGGAUGCCAGUGUUCCCCAGGAACUCCGUGUGAAAACCACUGAACUAGAGUUUGGAAGUUAAAAAAACUUCUCAGCCUCCCGCCUCUGCGAAGUUUGCCCAUCUGUCUGGAAAAAGGCAGUUCAGGCCAUGUUUUUCCCAAGCAAUAGAAAAAGCCAGUCUCAACAAAGCGAGAAGUUUGUCCUGAGAAGCUGGAAGUUUACUUAAGAGAUAUUUCAACAACCUAUGUCUUCGUGGAGAUGGGCCAGAGCCAGGCCUAGAUGGCCUGAUACAAGCCAGCUAUGUCUGUGGCUUGACGAAGAAGUCUGUGUUUUUCUUCUCGACUGCAGAAAUUAAGGAAGUAGAAUAACUGGACUGCUACACCUGGAAACUUAACUCCAUAGCCCAGAAUCAGAAAAGUGGGGGAAUUUUUCUUGGAGUAUACCUGCACCAGUAUGCCCACCUUGACUUAAUCGUAUGGGGGUCUACAAGUCUUGUUCAUAAAAUGUGUCGAGCUCGAGGAAGAAAAGUGCAGUGGUUAAGAAUCCACCUGCCAAUGCAGGGGACACGGGCUCGAUCCCUGGUCCGGGAAGAUCCCACAUGCUACGGAGCGGCUGGGCCUGUGUGCCCCAACUACUGAGCCCAUGUGCCACAACUACUGAAGCCCGUGCACCUAGAGCCCGUGCUCCCCAGCAGGAGAGGCCACUGCAGUGAGAGGCCUGCGCACCGCAACGAAGAGUAGCCCCCGCUCGCCUCAACGAGAGAAAGCCUACACACAGCAACAAAGACCCAAUGCAGCCAAAAAUAAAUAAAUAAAUAAAUAAAAUAUAUCCCAAAUUCAGUGUAAGGAAAACUCUUGGAUCGUCAUCUGCAAAUUUAGUUUCCUCU